UAAUAAGUUUAUUUUAAUUUAUUUAUCCCGAAAGUUAAGGGGCUAAGAUUUUAUUUAUUUUAAUGUGAAAUAAUUACUUACAAUAAAUUCUUUGGAAUGACAUGUUAGUCGCAUUAAUUUUUAUCUGGUUUUCAAAGAAAUUAAUUCAAUUAAGCUUUAUUUAAUAAAUUCUCUUUGUUUAAAGGGAAUUUGAAUUUAAAUGUAAUUUCUAAGGGGAUUAGCUUUUAGGAAUAUACUUAUAGUUAAUUAUUAUUUCAUUAUUUGUAGGAUUAGUAGUGUUCAUUGUUAAAAGUGUAUUAUAACUUAUUUUGAAUUUAUUUGAUUUUUAUUUGUACUUAGUUAUUUAUUUGAGAAUAAGUUUGAUUUUUAAAAAUUUAAUUAUAAUGAUAAAAUUAGUAUAUGUAUAUAUUGUAUUAUUUAAAUUACUUAUUUUAGGUAAUUUUAAGGAACUCGGCAAAUUAUCUCUUGCCUGUUUAAUAAAAACAUGUCCUUUUGAGCUUAUUUAAGGUCAGGCCUGCCCAAUGAUUAUUUCAAUGGCCGCGGUAUUUUGACCGUGCAAAGGUAGCAUAAUCAUUAGUUUUUUAAUUGAAAGCUUGCAUGAAUGGUUCGACAAGGAGGGGACUGUCUCUGUAUUAUUUAAUUAGAACUUUAUUUUUUAGUUAAAAAGCUAAAAUAAAACUAAGGGACGAGAAGACCCUAUAGAAUUUAAUAAUUAGUAAAUUCAAUUAUUAUUUAGGAUUUUAAAGUUGAAUUUGAUUAGUUAUUUUGUUGGGGUGACAGGAAAAUUUAUUUAACUUUUCUUUAAUCUGAAUCAUUUAUUUAUGAUUAGUUGAUCCAAUUAUAUUGAUUAAAAGAUUUAAUUACCUUAGGGAUAACAGCGUUAUUAAAUUGGAGAGUUCUUAUCGAUAAUUUAGUUUGCGACCUCGAUGUUGGAUUAAAAUUUACUUUGGGUGUAGAAGCUUAUUAGUUAGGUCUGUUCGACCUUUAAAAUUUU
rnacentral:rRNA from 1 species